CCUACGGGAGGCAGCAGUAGGGAAUAUUGCUCAAUGGGGGAAACCCUGAAGCAGCAACGCCGCGUGGAGGAUGAAGGUUUUCGGAUUGUAAACUCCUUUUGUUAGAGAAGAUAAUGACGGUAUCUGACGAAUAAGCACCGGCUAACUCCGUGCCAGCAGCCGCGGUAAUGCGGAGGGUGCAAGCGUUACUCGGAAUCACUGGGCGUAAAGAGCGCGUAGGCGGGAUAGCAAGUCAGAUGUGAAAUGCUAUGGCUUAACCAUAGAACUGCAUUUGAAACUGUUAUUCUAGAGUAUGGGAGAGGUAUGUGGAAUUCUUGGUGUAGGGGUAAAAUCCGUAGAGAUCAAGAGGAAUACUGAUUGCGAAGGCGGCCUGCUAGAACAUAACUGACGCUGAUGCGCGAAAGCGUGGGGAGCAAACAGGAUUAGAUACCCGAGUAGUC
rnacentral:rRNA from 1 species